ACACAUAUCAAACAAAAUCAUGAAAAUAAACGACAAACCAAAUCCAAGAAACAAUGUAUGUCUCGCUUUUGUUUCUUAGAUUUUGUUUGUUGUUUCUUAUUCAUGAUUGUGUUCUUUUCUUUUUCAGACAACGAACUGAUUUGAUUUGUAUGACGAUAACUAGAUACGUGUGCGUGUGCGUGUAGAAAAGAAAGAAAGAGAUAGCAAGAGAAAGAG
rnacentral:ribozyme from 14 species